UGAGGAAUAUUGGACAAUGGGCGCAAGCCUGAUCCAGCCAUGCCGCGUGCAGGAUGACGGUCCUAUGGAUUGUAAACUGCUUUUGUACAGGAAGAAACAGUUCUACGUGUAGAACCUUGACGGUACUGUAAGAAUAAGGAUCGGCUAACUCCGUGCCAGCAGCCGCGGUAAUACGGAGGAUCCAAGCGUUAUCCGGAAUCAUUGGGUUUAAAGGGUCCGUAGGCGGUUAGAUAAGUCAGUGGUGAAAGCCCAUCGCUCAACGGUGGAACGGCCAUUGAUACUGUCUGACUUGAAUUAUUAGGAAGUAACUAGAAUAUGUAGUGUAGCGGUGAAAUGCUUAGAGAUUACAUGGAAUACCAAUUGCGAAGGCAAGGUUACUA
rnacentral:rRNA from 1 species